GGGACAGUCCUCGUUUCAAUUCAGGUAGAUUUAUGGCGUAGACUCUCUAUAGAUUAAUUAUGUGACCUUAGUUCUAAACGUUCUUUUGAAACCUCUGAUCACUUUCUGACUGAACUAUGGGACUAGUACAGACCUCAGUUCAUACUAAACUUCCACAUUUUUCCUUCAGUUAUAUACAGCUUUGUAGAGUAAUGUGACCCUCUAGUGUAAGCCUCAACUCAGCACAAAGCAUCAGUCUCACUUUUUUAUUAGGCCCCAGAGAACUGCAACAAGGGAAAACAUUUUUUUAAAGCAAAGUUAUAUGAAAAGGUUAAACACAACAAGGUAAUUUAAAAGAGUGAGAUAUAAGCAUGUACUGAAAAAUAUUUUAAUUUGUGAUCAAGGGGGGAGGAUUUUUGAUGCAGUCAAUGAGAAAUAGGGGUAGAUACAUGGUGCAAUAAAAGUGCAGAGUGUUGUUCAUUACUUUAAAUUACAGCCUUAGCAGAGGGCUGAAAGGGCUAGCCUCGCUGGAACACCACUCUGCCUGCAGAAGUCCCAGCUCCAGGGGUGCCCAGGCAUAGACUGAAGAACUCAACACCCAUGAAUCCACUCAUGGAUCAUUCUAAAUGGAGCUGGACAGUCAGUACAGAGGCUGAGACCCCUCUGGCUGGGAUACAACAUCCACAGUCACACCCCUCAGAUCAUCAGUCAAUAAGGAGGGCCUCACAGACCAUCAAGCCUUUGGAUCACUGAUGAAAAUAUUGAAAAGCAUCAGGCCUUUUGUGCCAUUUGUUCUACUGCUUCUACUCCUCCAGUCCAACAGUCUAUUUACUGGUUAGCACUCUUCUCCCCCACCCUUCAAAAACUUAGAGGUGCUGUUGCCAUCUUCUAAUCCAACAAGUCCUGCUGCAUUAAAUGGGGGGUGACAUUUGGAUGAGGGAGGGCAGUUUUGAAGGGGUUGAAUUCUGAUGGUUGUUGGGUGGGGUGUAAAACUGCUAUUUUAUAUUUUGUUCUAGUAACUUACGGCAGGAGUACCCAGUGCCUUGGGCAGCUGCUUAUUUCUGUACAAGUCCAAAUAAAACGAACAUGUCUGCUGAUGAACAGUGUAGCUACCGCUUUUCCCUGCAUGAAUGUCACCUUUGUGAUGUACCAGUUGUCACCUGUCUGAACAGGAGCAGUCCCAGGCCAGCAUUCCUUUAAAUGAAUCAUUCUGCAUGUUAGCACAGAGCACUGCUCUUGUCGAAAUAGUGCCUGAGGCAAGUGCUAGCUUGCGGUUUUGGCCUGUGUGUAAGCCAAGGCAAACAGACUGCACUAGUUUUAUAUAGUAAAAUUUCCAAACACUUUGAUCCAAAUAGUUCAACACUGCUUGUUAAAGUCAAAACAGAAGAGCCAUACACUUCUUGCUUCAUACAGGUUCAGUCUACUUUGCCCCAGAUAGGACACCGAUAUGUUAGUAGACUUAAUGCAAACACAGGACAAGCUUUCAGACAGAUGGUGUUGCUUUUGUCACUUCACUACAGAAAUGUUUCGGAAACCGAUAGCUUUCAGUGAAUUAUGGACUUGAAGUUAUUUGAUAAAAAAAAAGAACAGAACCCUAAAACGAGAUCAAACCCAGCUUUCACAGUUGGCUAAACUCCAACAUUACUAGUCCUACCAGUUUUAUGGUAUUUCCACAACCGCUGAGUCAUGCAUCUAUUUAAAUAUUUCAGAGACAUUAGAAAGAAAGGUGGGGAAAUAAACUGAAAAGGGUUCUAGAACAUAAAAAUACCAGAGUGGGAAUGUCCAGUCUGCAUAUAUACUGGGUCAAGAAAAAUUAAAAUAUACUUGCAGAGAUAUGAGAUCUAAUAGUCACCAGCAGGGACCAUUAGAUAAUCUAGUCUGACUUCCUGUCUAACAUAGGCCAUAGAAUUUCACCCAGUUACCCAUGAAUGGAGCCCAGUAACUUGUUUGACUAAAGCAAAUCUUCCAGAAAGGCAUCCAGAUUAGGACCAAACCAAGGAAGUAAUUUCACCAAGGACACCUUAAAUAUAAAGCUUUGCAUAAUGCAACUGACUUCUGGAAAUUCAGAUUAUAUGUAUAUAUAAAGUAAAGAGUAUCUUGUUUUAAGAGAACAGACUACACAUAGUAACAGCAGAAAACCAAUACAAUCUCUGAAACAGUUUUAGUUGAGUGACUUUUGUAUUUUAUUAGCAGUGUGAAGUUUCCCUUUGGUCUCUCACACACACUGCUCCUUCAGAUUUAUGGAAACCUCCCAAUGUUUCAGUUCAGGAAGUUUUUACUAGUCAGAGUUUUGUUUCUUCUUUCUCAAUGGAUGUGUGUCAGCCUUCUUCAAACGCAUAAUGGAAGCAAGCAUGCCAUAAAGAUAUCCAGCUCAGAUCUCUCCAACUCUCCCAUUUCCUGCUCAGUCAAGCCGCAAGAAGUGGAAACUAGAGAUGUCAUAUCCAUCUCCACAAUCCAUUACUACUUAAGUCUCUUACAAAAUGACUGCAUGACUGAUUUCAAAUAAAGAAUUCCUGAAAUGCAUCCAUCCAUAUUCUGCUAAGGGUUACUAUUUAGGGACACACUCCAGUUCAGUUUAAUCAAAUGUAAGUUUUGAUGGAGGAGCUUUCUGGUGAGGUUUUAGCUACAAUAUUGCGUAUUUAAAGAUCUGUACUGAUUAAAGAAAAUGGCAAGAUGAUCACAUUAUGGAAAUCAAUCUUAUUUUGAGAGGGUCAGAAAAGUUAUUUGUAAAACCAACUAGAUAUUCCAACAAAUUACACAGUACAGUAGUAAGUGCAACAAACAGAAAGUUAGAGAGAGUUAGUCACAAGAAUUAACCAUCUCUUUGCUCUGUUCUCAUUAGCAGGCCCAGGAGUGCUGUUUUUUCCAAUGAGAUUUGAAAAGAAAAACAACCUGCCUUUGCCAUCUCUGUCCCAAUCUAGUUCUCAAUUGUAAAGAGACAUUUCAGCUGGUGCAGCCUAAGGUCUAAAAAGUCACUCUUCUUACAUCAGAUAGGCCAAAGAUAUCUAGAUAAAUAAAAUAUUGCAAACAAGCACAAUUUAUCACCCAGCUCAGAAGGGAUGGCAAAAGGCUUCUGUUCAUAUAUAAUAUACAGCAGUAAUCAUGAAUAGAAUGAUUUGGAACAUGUUUUUAUUUCAAGUCAGCAAUCUUAAAUUAUAAGGCUUCUUUAAACUCUCCUUUCAUUUAUAGAAGAGAUGCUGAAUGUAUUCAGAUACUGACUUGGCCAUUUACUCAUUGGCUUUGUGAACUCAGACUGCAUAAAAAUAAAAUAAAGAGGAACUGCCAAUACUAAAUUCAGACCACAUAUGUAAGCAUGGAUGCAUGCAGGUGUGAAAGUAUGAAUGGCUUCUAGUUCCUCAAGCCAGUGUGUCAGGGUGUUUAAACAAGAAUGCAAAUCUUCAUUUUUAAAGAGAAACUAUCAGACCACAACAUUUUUAUAAUUUAGAAUGAUCUAGUUGUUCACCAAAGGACUGGAAGUCAGCAGUUCUGAACAGCACAAAGCAGGUCACUUAAUCUUUCCUCAUCAGUAAUUUAAUCCCAUAAGAAAUUAAUAAACAUUCAGUGUUAAACUCUCCAGUUUAGUGUUUAAAAUUAAACAUGAUUGGGUUAGGAAUGGUUCAACCAGCUGGGCACACUGAGUGACUGAUAGAUUUUCAACCUAUCUUUGACUUUUCUCCUAAAACUGCACAUUAUCUUCGUAUGGUUAUAGUUUAUUUUAGCAGCAGGAUGAUCUCUUCACACAUCUGGAACGUGACAUUUUAUUUCAUUGCUACUCUCCGACCAGUGACUCAAGUUGGCAUUUAUUCCCUGCAUAUACACUUGCAACUCUCAGAUAUAAGUGAGAGGAGAACAGACCAGGAUUUUUCAGGAAGCUAGGCUAGCAGGUGAAAGCUUAUUCCAUAUUUGUACUACAGUGAUGAACUACACUGUUAUAAGAGAAAACCUUAUAAACAAAGUAAAAAACCAAAAUGCUUCUCCUGUUGACAGAUCAUAACUUUCACGUACAACAUUGUGUGUUUCAUUUGCUUUAAGUUUAUUGCAGGAAAUGUAACAGGCUCACCUUUUCAUAAUGUGUCUCCAUACACAAAAAGAUAGUGUACGCAGUCAGACAGGCCAGACAACCUUCAAGAUAAGAUUGGCCCCCAAGCUUCUCAGCUUCUGCAUAAAGAUUGUUUAGAGUUUGAACCGUCUCUUCAAACUGCUGCCUAUCGAUCUGCAAAAGAGAUUGAGUUUAACAAGACUAACCCAGCAAAUUUCUCAUUCAAGACUCACUGAUCCCCAAUACAGAAAUCUAGCUUCUGUGCUAGAACAGUCCCUUAAUCAGCAAUGUCACCUACAGACAGUUUCAUACAACAUGGAGAGCAAAGGUUUGGUUUAGGUACCGAAUUACUUCCAUAAAUUGUAGCAUUUGGUUAAAUAGCAGCUAAGUGAUCUAAAGUCAUUAGCUCAAAUGUGUAUUCCCACAUUACUCUUAUUUAUUUAUUGUGUGCAGAGUCAUCUAGCCAAGAGAUGGCAUCUUAAGUGGUGUGAUGGAGUUCUUCUGGCCACCGUUGAACCUAUCAGCAGGCAUUCACUGACAAUGUGCUUCAUCCUGCAUCUCUCAUUUGCAGCCCUUAUUUAAACUGCAUUAUGUGUAACUUGUUAGGUUACAAGUACAACCUAGUUGAAAACUGCUGAUCUGGAGGGGAAGGUCCUCUAGAUUUAAAAAAAUACAUUUUUCACUGAAGGCCUUGACUAUUUUGCAUUUCUAUGUUAGAGUUGACCAACCAAGUUAUAAAUAAAAUUAACAAGGAAAAAUUAAGGUGAUUAGUGUACCCUGCGGGGCAGGAGAGAAGGAAACAGGACCCACAGUGACAUUUACCAGCUAGAGAAGAAAGAGCAAUUGGCAAGGAGGGGUUAUGUUGUAGCUUAAUAAAAUAUUACAAAUGACAGUAACAAAAUGAAAAAGUACUUGAGUGGGUACUUGUGAGGCCACUGAAGUGCAGGCUCAGCAGAACAGCCUUCUCACCAUGAGAGAGGACUGUGGUAGACAUAACUGCACAACAAUAAGUGCUUUUUCACUGGCAUAACAGAUGUAGUUUGUGUUACUAUUACAAGGGACACCUUUCCUCAGGAUUACAGAAAGCAUAAAUAUCAAUGUUUCAUAAAUGAUGUGAAUGAGCAUUUUAAGCAUAUUAUGUCAUGUCUAGAUUUUCACAUCAAAAAUCAAAUGUCUUUUAAUCAUGAUCAAUGAACAACAACAAAAAAAAGAGCAACUGACAAGAAGUCAGAAUGUAUACAAAUGAACAGAAUUUCUACUUCUUUAUCAAAAAUAAAGAUUAUAGUCCACAGGAGAGUUGCAUGCAUAAAGGAUGUGGGAUCUAGCCCUUAGCUUGCAUUAAGAUAUAUGUGCGAGCUUUAAUACACUGUUUCUUAUUCAGUGUUUCAGCCAUUCCUGAUAAGCACAAAGUCAAUAUUUAUAAUAAAGACUUUACAGCAUCUAGAGUAAGAGAUUGAGAGUUAGGUAGGUAGGUUUAGUUGCUUUAAUCAGACUUUAUAAUGAAAGGACUCCUCCCACACCGAGAUGACACCAAGAACACUCACCUCUGAUUCUAAUUAUGCAUGUUUAAGAAUGUUGGUAUAAACUAUAGGGUUACUGAACAUUCUGUAUUUUAAAGACAGUGAACAGGAAAUGAUACACAACAAGGUGGCAGAGUGAUACUUAGAUAAAGUCUCUAUCCCUUUCAUAGUAUGCUAUUCUGAGUUGAAAGCAGACAAAUGCAGACACAAAUCACUUCUCUAUAAAGCAACUUACGAAUUCUGGAAGAAUCUGUUUACUAAUAUUUAAAACAUAUUAGAUUUUAUACUAGAACUUCAUGUAUAAAUAUCAUCUUCCCCCUAGUCAGAGCUCCUACAUUCACAACCUCUCUUUAAGAACUGUAUCGAUUUACCUCCUAAAGGCUGCCAGUCUGGACAGGACUGUAGAGUUUUCACCUAUUUUAUCCAGCUUGUGAGGUGCCAUUCUCACCCUUGCUACUAUUCAGUUUCUUCUGUUAGUGACCAGCUACAUUCCCAACACAAAUCAUGACGCUGGAAAGCCUUCCUGAAAGGCACUGCCACAGAUUGCUCCUAUAAAGUCCUGUCCACACCCUUUUACUCGGUGACAAAGUAUCACCUCACCUCUGCAAUUACCCCAUUAGCCAAGCCACUAGGCUGGCAAGAACACAUUCAUUACUAUAUCUACAUCUUUCUGACUAUUUUCUAAUAAACAACACUAAAUGCACUCAAGAUGACAUUGUGCGCUCCCAUACUUUGUGCAUGAGAAACACACUGUUGUACAGUGCAGAGACUAGCUAAGCACUCCCGCUACAGAUUUGUUUGUAUCUGAGCAAAACCCGCCCCACUAAAAUCAAAAACAGAAAUUAUAGAAAGUAACUGCUAUAAAGUAAUUGUAUCCAACAGAAAAUGAGGGACUCAUUUCAGUUUAUACUAAGAGCAAGAAUAACUGGGCUGUGCAUUAAAGCCGAGAUACCUGUACCUUGUAAUGUAAGUGUCAAAUCACAAAAAACAAACAAACAAACAAACUGGCUCUUACCUAGAGCUUUGCGUUCACAGAUCUCAAAGCACCUCACUGAGGUGAUAAGUAUCAUUAGCCCCAUUUUGCAUACAGGGAAGGGGAAGAGGAACCCAUCACUAUUUUUGUUCAAACACGUUAAAAAAAAAUACUAACCAGAAAAAUGCCGCUGUGACAGCCUGACCACAUAGAUUAGGCCAUAGCAAAUGCAGCUCCCCAAUAGUAGAUUUAAGGAGUCAGAUUAUUUAUGUGGGUUGGAAGGCAGGCUCCAUUUUUAUCUGUGGUUAGUUUGGUACUGUUUAAAUCAUAGUCCUAUUAACUGAAAAUAAAAGACGAGUGCAGUUUACAACUACUUUGAGGCCUUGGCUGAGGAAGUAUUGGCAAAGUGUCAUCUCCCAGACAGAGACAAAGCAGCACCAUCCACUGAACAAAGGCAGUUUAAGAUUUAACUAUUCAAAUUAAUUUUUAAUAUAUGAUUUCUAAUUUAAUACUCCAUUACUCUUCUAGAGUGCCUCAUUCAGGGAUCCUAAAAUCUUUAGCAAAACAAUUAUAGGGAGAGUUAAUUUAAACCCAUUUUGCCUGGAUUUUUUUUUAAAAAAAAUUCUGAUUACUUGUAUCAAGCAAGGUCACCAUAACUGAAAGAGAGCAGAGCAAAAGAUAUUUCCUUCUAUUUUACCAGUUAGUUUACUUUAGAAAAUGUUAUAAACCCACCAAAACUGGCAGUAGAUCUCAGGUCUGGUGUUAUACUAGAAACUACUUUUAACUCUCUUAAAAUUGGCUAGAUUUUGAGUUGGUAGUGUCUCUCUAAGCCUUAACCACUCCGAGUUCGGUGGGUACAGAUUUUACGGAUUUAGGAACUGAGGCACAGAGAGUAAAGUCAUUUGUCAAAGAUUACACAGUAAACCAGUCACUGAAGUAGGAAAAAUAAUAAUAAAAAAUAAUCAGUCUUGACUCCCUAUCAUCUACACCCCCCCAUACCACCCCACAGCUAACAACUCAAAGUGAUUU